rnacentral:rRNA from 1 species
GACGAACGCUGGCGGCGUGCUUAACACAUGCAAGUCGAACGGAAAGGCCCUGCUUUUGUGGGGUGCUCGAGUGGCGAACGGGUGAGUAACACGUGAGUAACCUGCCCUUGACUUUGGGAUAACUUCAGGAAACUGGGGCUAAUACCGGAUAGGAGCUCCUGCUGCAUGGUGGGGGUUGGAAAGUUUCGGCGGUUGGGGAUGGACUCGCGGCUUAUCAGCUUGUUGGUGGGGUAGUGGCUUACCAAGGCUUUGACGGGUAGCCGGCCUGAGAGGGUGACCGGCCACAUUGGGACUGAGAUACGGCCCAGACGCAUACGGGAGGCAGCAGUGGGGAAUAUUGCACAAGGGGCGGAAGCCUGAUGCAGCAACGCCGCGUGCGGGAGGACGGCCUUCGGGUUGGAAACCGCUUUCGCCUGUGACGAAGCGUGAGGGACGGUAAUGGGUAAAGAAGCACCGGCGAACUACGU